UUAAGUUCAGCGGGUAAUCCCACCUGAUUUCAGAUCAAAUUUAAAGAUGUGUUAUUUGGGAGGCCCCAGCACAGUUUUAUCGCAAGAGCUUCUCUUUAUAUUAAAAAAAGUUCAGGCAUUCAAACAAGAUCAGGCCUUUGUACAUUUCAAGAGGUUCAAGAUCAAAAUUGAUCAAGAGACUCUCAGUCAUCCUAUUCAAC
rnacentral:misc_RNA from 1 species